AAUCGGCAAAAGCUCAAAUUUGAAAUCUGGCACCUUCGGUGUCCGAGUUGUAAUUUGAAGAUUGUAACCUUGGGGUUGGCUCUUGUCUAUGUUUCUUGGAACAGGACGUCACAGAGGGUGAGAAUCCCGUGCGAUGAGAUGCCCAAUCCUAUGUAAGGUGCUUUCGAAGAGUCGAGUUGUUUGGGAAUGCAGCUCUAAGUGGGUGGUAAAUUCCAUCUAAAGCUAAAUAUUGGCGAGAGACCGAUAGCGAACAAGUACAGUGAUGGAAAGAUGAAAAGAACUUUGAAAAGAGAGUGAAAAAGUACGUGAAAUUGUUGAAAGGGAAGGGUUUGAGAUCAGACUCGAUAUUUUGUGAGCCUUGCCUUCGUGGCGGGGUGACCCGCAGCUUAUCGGGCCAGCAUCGGUUUGGGCGGUAGGAUAAUGGGCCGUAAAGUGAAUUUG
rnacentral:rRNA from 1 species